UCCGAUAUGGUGUAGUGGCUAACAUCGCUCGCUCUCAACUUCAGUUGAAGAUCCGAGCAGCCCUGGGUUCGAUUCCCAGUAUCGGAG
rfam:Trichoderma virens Gv29-8 TRIVIscaffold_88, whole genome shotgun sequence.